rnacentral:rRNA from 1 species
GUAGGUGGCAAGCGUUGUCCGGAAUUAUUGGGCGUAAAGCGCGCGCAGGUGGUUCUUUAAGUCUGAUGUGAAAGCCCCCCGGCUCAACCGGGGAGGGUCAUUGGAAACUGGGGAACUUGAGUGCAGGAGAGGAAAGUGGAAUUCCACGUGUAGCGGUGAAAUGCGUAGAUAUGUGGAGGAACACCAGUGGCGAAGGCGACUUUCUGGCCUGUAACUGACACUGAGGCGCGAAAGCGUGGGGAGCAAACAGGAUUAGAUACCCUGGUAGUCCACGCCGUAAACCGAUGAGUGCUAAGUGUUGGGGGGGUUUUUACCCGCCCCCCCCGUCAGUGCUGCAGCUAACGCAUUAAGCACUCCGCCUGGGGAGUACGGUCGCAAGACUG